CCGCCGGCGACCGGCGCACGGGUGAGUAACACGUAUGCAACCUGGCCGUGACAAAUGGAUAACCGGGAGAAAUCCCGCCUAAUACAACAUAAUGCCGGGAGGGGACAUCCCCUGCCGGUCAAAGGGGGCGACCCCGGUCAUGGAUGGGCAUGCGGCGCAUUAGGUAGUUGGUGGGGCAACGGCCCACCAAGCCGACGAUGCGUAGGGGUUCUGAGAGGAAGGUCCCCCACAUUGGAACUGAGACACGGUCCAAACUCCUACGGGAGGCAGCAG
rnacentral:rRNA from 1 species